UACGUAGGGUGCGAGCGUUAAUCGGAAUUACUGGGCGUAAAGCGUGCGCAGGCGGUUUUGUAAGCCAGAUGUGAAAUCCCCGGGCUUAACCUGGGAAUGGCAUUUGGGACUGCAAGGCUUGAGUGCAGCAGAGGAGACUAGAAUUCCUGGUGUAGCAGUGAAAUGCGUAGAUAUCAGGAGGAAUACCGAUGGCGAAGGCAGCCCCCUGGGUCAAGAUUGACGCUCAUGCACGAAAGCGUGGGGAGCAAACAGG
rnacentral:rRNA from 1 species